CUGAAGGUAAAAAAAAAAAAGUAAAAAAUCCAUUGCAAUUGACAUACUACACUGACUAUGGUGAGAGACUGUGCCACACACUCUCAAAGAAACUGAGGAAUCACUUGAUCAGCAUCCUGUACAGCAGACAAGAGAAGAUAAAUAAUGAGUCUCAAAACUGGAGACUCUCAUACAAAACCAACCUUCCACACAAACUUCCACGUAGC